UGUUUACCCAUAAAUUUCAGCAAGGCGAUGCAAGAGAAGGCGGUGGUAGGCCCCGGCAGGCUGGAGCUCUAUCGUAUCCGCCGCGCCGUCGUCCUCUUCACGGCAGUGCAGCUCCUGGAGGGCUGCGACGAGGGACUCCUCGGUGGAGAGGAUGAGAUGCUUGCUGUGCAGGUUGUCCUUGAUGAGCGAGGCCAGCUCCUCAACCAUGGCGAACUGAGUGGUGGCCAUCUCCCGAUUGAAUUGCUGAUGGAAGCAGUUCGAUCUGUCAAGAGCCGAGGGGAGGAAAGUGCUGCUGACGAAAGCCUAGCCCAGCCGCAACUGCAACUGCGAUUGGAGAGGGGAGCUGAGGCUGGAGAAGGGGGAUUCGGAGGAAAACCCUGGGCUGAAGCAAGCAUCAAAUAGCUAGGGCAUGGACGCCGUGGAGGCAGCGGGGAUUCAGCAACAAGUUUAGGCCAUGGGUAUCCCUAAGAUUUUUGGAUCCAUGGUAGGUACGCUCGAGAGUCGGAUUCGCGAAUUUGUUAUGCUGGAGAUUGCAACUAAUAACUGCUUCAGCCUUGAAAAAAUUUAUCCAUGUGCCUUUGCGGAGAUAUAGGUAACAGACCGCGACGGAGGGCCAGGCGCACAGCCGCGUCGCUCCAGACGCUGAUUGAUCCAUCUGUGUUCUUGUCUACCCACCUGCACCAACAUGGAUUAGCAUCAUAGGGUAAAGCCAAGCCUGCCAUUUGCAGUUUUGAGAGUGGCCAGACAUUCUCCAGGUUAU
rnacentral:misc_RNA from 1 species